CGGGACGGGUGAGUAACGCGUGGGUAACCUGCCUCAUACAGGGGGAUAACGGUUAGAAAUGACUGCUAAUACCGCAUAAGCGCACAGUACCGCAUGGUACGGUGUGAAAAACUCCGGUGGUAUGAGAUGGACCCGCGUCUGAUUAGCUAGUUGGUGAGGUAACGGCCCACCAAGGCGACGAUCAGUAGCCGACCUGAGAGGGUGAUCGGCCACAUUGGGACUGAGACACGGCCCAG
rnacentral:rRNA from 1 species